UACGUAGGGGGCUAGCGUUGUCCGGAUUUAUUGGGCGUAAAGCGCGCGCAGGCGGUUUCUUAAGUCUGAUGUGAAAGCCCACGGCUCAACCGUGGAGGGUCAUUGGAAACUGGGGAACUUGAGUGCAGAAGAGAAAAGCGGAAUUCCACGUGUAGCGGUGAAAUGCGUAGAGAUGUGGAGGAACACCAGUGGCGAAGGCGGCUUUUUGGUCUGUAACUGACGCUGAGGCGCGAAAGCGUGGGGAGCAAACAGG
rnacentral:rRNA from 1 species